rnacentral:lncRNA from 1 species
GGAAGGACAAGCCUAGAACAGGAUAAAAAAUCGAUCCGGAAAUGCUGUAAUGGGUCCACAGCUAAGUUAUCUCAAGGACCAAAGCUAUUUGAAUCACAACUGGAAACUACCGAGGGAUUGUUCCUUCUCUGGGCUCCAGUGAAAGGCAGUGGUCAUCCUUGUCAUUCAAGAACAAGAGGGGACAACAGAGUGCCAAAAACAAGUGCUGCUUUUGGUGGAGAACAAAACUUCUGGUUUAAAAGAAGAUAAUAGAACAAUUAAGCUAUUUUUUUUACUUACAUUGACCAGCUUGACAAGCAAAGAUCUUUUCUAGGAUGAAAAAAUGUGUCUUUGUUUUCACUUGUGUUAG